rfam:Blautia sp. CAG:37, WGS project CBJJ01000000 data, contig: 35
GGAGAUCUUCAGGGCAGGGUGUGAUUCCCUACUGGCGGUAUAGUCCGCGACCCGCUGCGAUAUCAAACAGCGGCUGACUCGGUGCAACUCCGGGACCAACAGUUAAAGUCUGGAUGAAAGAAGAUGAAA